rnacentral:rRNA from 1 species
CAGCCGCCACGGUAAUACGAAGGGGGCUAGCGUUACUCGGAAUUACCGGGCGUAAAGCGUGCGUAGGUGGUGGUUUAAGUCCGUUGUGAAAGCCCCGGGCUCAACCUGGGAAUUGCAGUAGACACUGGGUCACUAGAGUGUGGUAGAGGAUAGUGGAAUUUCCGGUGUAGCAGUGAAAUGCGUAGAGAUCGGAAGGAACAUCUGUGGCGAAGGCGACUAUCUGGGCCAACACUGACACUGAGGCACGAAAGCGUGGGGAGCAAACAGGAUUAGAUACCCCGGUAGUCCCUGUCUCUUAUAC